UAGGGAAUAUUAGAAAUGGACGAAAGUCUGAUCUAGCAACACCGCGUGUGCGAAGAAGGCCUUCGGGUUGUAAAGCACUUUUUGGAAGGAUUAGGAAGGAAUGUACUUCCAGAAUAAGUCUCGGCUAACUACGUGCCAGCAGCCGAGGUAACACGUAGGAGGCAAACGUUAUCCGGAUUUACUGGGCGUAAAGCGCGUGUAGGUGGUUCUGUAAGUAGGGCGUGAAAGCUCCUGGCUCAACUGGGAGAGGCCGUUCUAAACUACAGAGCUAGAGGAUGGUAGAGGGAGGUGGAAUUCCGGGUGUAGCGGUGGAAUGCGCAGAUAUCCGGAGGAACACCAGUGGCGAAAGCGGCCUCCUGGACCAUUCCUGACACUCAGACGCGAAAGCUAGGGUAGCAAACG
rnacentral:rRNA from 1 species